CUUUUUUUUUUUUUUUGGGCCCCUAUUGUAUGCUUUUGUUGAUUUUUAUUCCUAAUUUUUCUAGAAGAUUCUGCUUCCCAUUAUUCUAGUUUGCAAAAAUUCAAAUUAAUUUGUCUCAACAAAGUUUUUAGCAAGGAAGGGAAAAAAGAUUGUGCCAUUUUUAUAUUGUCAGCCGGCAAGCCUGUAAAUGUUAGACAUAUAUCAACUUAAUAUUUAGUCGUUUAUUUGGUGGAGUUCAAUAUGGAUUUAUAAAACAGGUGUUAAAAUUCUGAAUGUUCAGUGUUAUGAAAUUGAGUAUUUGUUUUAUGUAGAACUAGAUGCUUAUAUUAUGAAUGUUUGGUCUUAAUUUAUAUUGUAAUUUCAUUAAAUGUUUGGUUCUAAUUCUACUUAUUUUGCGUCUCACCUCUCUCAGGCACAUGCUUGCAACUUGUGCCUAGGCUCUAGGAUCUUUUGCAUGUUAAUGUGACUUGUGCCGAAAAAUUAUGAAUACAUCAUAGGCAUUAGCAACUUCCAUCUUUAGCAUGCGCUUCCGCUAAUUAAUUGCCUAUUGAUACCUCCAGUCCUUAGAUUCUGGUCCUGUCUCAACACUGUGCCUCUACAAUUUGAUUUAGAAAGUGAAGUAAGUUUGCAAUGCCGUGUAAAUGCUAUAGACAUUGCUCAUUUCCCUUUGUAUGC
rnacentral:misc_RNA from 1 species